rnacentral:rRNA from 1 species
GACGAACGCUGGCGGCGUGCUUAACACAUGCAAGUCGAACGGAAAGGCCCUGCUUUUGUGGGGUGCUCGAGUGGCGACCGGGUGAGUAACACGUGAGUAACCUGCCCUUGACUUUGGGAUAACUUCAGGAAACUGGGGCUAAUACCGGCUAGGAGCUCCUGCUGCAUGGUGGGGGUUGGAAAGUUUCGGGGGUUGGGGAUGGACUCGCGGCUUAUCAGCUUGGUGGUGGGGUAGUGUCUUACCAAGGCCUUGCGGGGUAGCCGUCCUGCGAGGCGGACCGGACACAUUGGGACGGAGAUGCGACCCGGACUCGAACGGGAGGCAGCGGUGGAGAAGAGUGCACAAGGGGCGGAGGCCUGAUGUAGCAACGCCGCGUGGGGGAUGAGGGCAUGCGGGUUGUAUACUAAUGUCGCCUGUGACGAGAUGUGAGUGACGGUAAUGGGUAAAGAAGCACCGGCUAACUACGUG